rnacentral:rRNA from 1 species
UACAGAGGUCCCAAGCGUUGUUCGGAUUUACUGGGCGUAAAGGGUGCGUAGGUGGUGAGGUAAGUCUGAUGUGAAAUCUCCGAGCUCAACUCGGAAAUGGCAUUGGAAACUACCUUGCUAGAGGGUUGGAGGGGGACUGGAAUACUUGGUGUAGCAGUGAAAUGCGUAGAUAUCAAGUGGAACACCAGUGGCGAAAGGCGACGUCCCUGGACAACUCCUGACACUGAGGCACGAAAGCUAGGGGAGCAAACAGG